rnacentral:rRNA from 1 species
UACGUAGGGAGCAAGCGUUGUUCGGAUUUACUGGGCGUAAAGGGCGCGUAGGCGGGAUGGCAAGUCGGUCGUGAAAUCCCUCGGCUCAACCGAGGAACGUCGAUCGAUACUGCUGUUCUUGAGGAUUGCAGAGGAGACUGGAAUUCCCGGUGUAGCGGUGAAAUGUGUAGAGAUCGGGAGGAACACCGGUGGCGAAGGCGGGUCUCUGGGCAAUUCCUGACGCUGAGGCGUGAAAGCGUGGGGAGCAAACGGG